rnacentral:rRNA from 1 species
AGAUUGAACGCUAGCGGGAUGCUUUACACAUGCAAGUCGAACGGCAGCGCGGACUUCGGUCUGGCGGCGAGUGGCGAACGGGUGAGUAAUAUAUCGGAACGUGCCCAGUAGCGGGGGAUAACUACGCGAAAGCGUGGCUAAUACCGCAUACGCCCUACGGGGGAAAGGGGGGGAUUCUUCGGAACCUCUCACUAUUGGAGCGGCCGAUAUCAGAUUAGCUAGUUGGUGAGGUAAAGGCUCACCAAGGCGACGAUCUGUAGCUGGUUUGAGAGGACGACCAGCCACACUGGGACUGAGACACGGCCCAGACUCCUACGGGAGCAGCAGUGGGAAUUUGGACAAUGGGGAAACCUGAUCCAGCCAUCCGCGUGUGCGAUGAAGGCCGUCGGUUAGUAAGACUACGUUGU